UGAACGCUAGCUACAGGCUUAACACAUGCAAGUCGAGGGGCAGCAUGGUCUUAGCUUGCUAAGGCCGAUGGCGACCGGCGCACGGGUGAGUAACACGUAUCCAACCUGCCGUCUACUCUUGGACAGCCUUCUGAAAGGAAGAUUAAUACAAGAUGGCAUCAUGAGUCCGCAUGUUCACAUGAUUAAAGGUAUUCCGGUAGACGAUGGGGAUGCGUUCCAUUAGAUAGUAGGCGGGGUAACGGCCCACCUAGUCUUCGAUGGAUAGGGGUUCUGAGAGGAAGGUCCCCCACAUUGGAACUGAGACACGGUCCAAACUCCUACGGGAGGCAGCAGUGAGGAAUAUUGGUCAAUGGGCGAGAGCCUGAACCAGCCAAGUAGCGUGAAGGAUGACUGCCCUAUGGGUUGUAAACUUCUUUUAUAAAGGAAUAAAGUCGGGUAUGCAUACCCGUUUGCAUGUACUUUAUGAAUAAGGAUCGGCUAACUCCGUGCCAGCAGCCGCGGUAAUACGGAGGAUCCGAGCGUUAUCCGGAUUUAUUGGGUUUAAAGGGAGCGUAGAUGGAUGUUUAAGUCAGUUGUGAAAGUUUGCGGCUCAACCGUAAAAUUGCAGUUGAUACUGGAUAUCUUGAGUGCAGUUGAGGCAGGCGGAAUUCGUGGUGUAGCGGUGGAAUGCUUAGAUAUCACGAAGAACUCCGAUUGCGAAGGCAGCCUGCUAAGCUGCAACUGACAUUGAGGCUCGAAAGUGUGGGUAUCAAACAGGAUUAGAUACCCUGGUAGUCCACACGGUAAACGAUGAAUACUCGCUGUUUUGCGAUAUACAGCAAGCGGCCCAGCGAAAGCGUUUAGUAUUCCACCUGGGGAGUACGCCGGCAACGGUGAAACUCAAAGGAAUUGAC
rnacentral:rRNA from 1 species